UGGGGAAUAUUGCACAAUGGACGAAAGUCUGAUGCAGCCAUGCCGCGUGUGUGAAGAAGGCCUUCGGGUUGUAAAGCACUUUCAGCGAGGAGGAAAGGUUAGUAGUUAAUAACUGCUAGCUGUGACGUUACUCGCAGAAGAAGCACCGGCUAAUUUAGUGCCAGCAGCCGCGGUAAUACUAAAGGUGCAAGCGUUAAUCGGAAUUACUGGGCGUAAAGCGCGCGUAGGUGGUUUGUUAAGUUGGAUGUGAAAGCCCAGGGCUCAACCUUGGAACUGCAUUCAAAACUGACUCACUAGAGUACGAGAGAGGUUAGUGGAAUUUCCUGUGUAGCGGUGAAAUGCGUAGAGAUGGGAAGGAACACCAGUGGCGAAGGCGACUGACUGGCUCGAUACUGACACUGAGGUGCGAAAGCGUGGGGAGCAAACGGG
rnacentral:rRNA from 1 species